UUUUGGUGAAAGUUACAAAUUAGUUUCAUAUCCUACAACGGCUGCAAGAACGGACCGCACUCAAAUUUGUCGACUGUUCUCCUCCAACCGCCGUGUUCCUUUACCAAUUUUUGAAUCCACACGGCUAUGAUUUCUAAUUUCUACCUAUUUUCAUUUUCUUUCAGAAUCGUAAACCUUUGUCAUUUUUUCAUCGAAACUGAAACCGUAUUCCAUUUUCCAAAAAUUUCAAAACAUUCUUAUUCUAUCAAAUCUCAUAAUCUCAGAAUCAUUUUUCUCGCACAUCUCAUUUAAAAGAAACUCAACAAAGGUAUGUUUUACUCGCAUUUUUAUGUUUUGUAUUUCUGUGAUGAUUUAGGGUUUAUUCAGUUUAAUGCCCACGAAAUCAUUUUUUGAUUAUGUUUGUUUUGAUUUUGGGAUUUAGGUUUUGUUUCUAUUUCCAAACUACUCGUACUUCUUAUGUCUAUUUCAGGAGAAAUUUUUUGGUUUGAGAGAAAUUUUCCAGAUUAUGGAUGCUAAUAGAAGUGGUGUAAUAACUUUCGAAGAACUCAAAGCUAGUCUAAGAAGAUAUGUGUAUAUCCUUUGGUUUGGUUCUUGUAGAGUGUAAGAGUAAGAAGGUUUCAUUGAAGAAGAGAAUUUUGAUUUGCAGAGUGUAAGAGUAAGAAGGUCCUAUUUUUAAGUUAAUAGUUCAUAUAGGGCUUUUUACAAUGAUUUCGUAAAGGUUAAUGAAACCUCUAAUGUCAUAUUGUCACUUGUUUCUUUACUUUGAUUUACAAUGCCUUCCAUUUGUUUGUUUAUGUAUGUUGAUUUACAAUGAUGUCAGGUAUCUCAAGAUCAGAGCCUCCGCGAGCAGGUUCCUGUUCUGAAACUUUUCAAAUACUUUAAUAGCAGAUUUUGAUAGACUAACUUGACAAAGUGCAGAUUGAUUCUGAUUCCAUAUAUUUCAAAAUCUGAUGUAUAAUUGAUGGAUGUUAUGACUAGUCGGACUGGGAAACUUAGAGUGACAACAGCAGCAGUGAGGAUCGUGAAACUGUACACAUUCCAAACCAUAAAUUUACAAUGAAUGUUGUGCAGAAUCUCAGUCACAAAACACAUUGCAGAAUCAAAACUCACCUAGUAAUUAGUCAUUUCGAUGUAAAUAAGAUCAAUGUAAGAAAGGUUCAUCGAGAUCUCGAACAUCAACGUCAAGAUGACUAAGAACAAAAAUAUUUCUGCUUGUUCAAUCUCCAUCAUCAACUGCCUGUUCAUCUUUUUCCGGUGUCUUUUGGGAGAGUAUUCAUAGGAAUUAUCAUUGAGAGAAGGUUACUAAAAGAAAGGGCAAAAACAAAGAGAAGUCAAACCCGAGUGAUGAAACUGAGAAAGAAACCGACUUGAAGAGUUUGUGGACAGAGUUGAAGAACCGCGUGCCGAGAUGCUCGUAGUUCUGGAUUCAGUGUGGCUCUGCUCAUCAAGAUCAAUGUUAGAAGGCAUACAAGGUGGAAUGAAAGGUUAAGCUGACAGAGAUGAGUCAUCUCCUUAUGCUGCUAUGCUUACAACACAUGAUGUUGCCACCCGAUGCAAGAUAACUAGAUGAUUCAUCUCCUUAUGAUGCUAAGCAGUUAUGCCUACCUGUUACCAAUAGAUUUGUUGGUUUGAUACUUUGAUUGAUCCUAUAGAUGGUUGAUUCUGUUUGUGAUGUUUACAUGUUACAUUAUGUUUGAUUCGUUUAUUGGUGAAGUAUUUCCUUUUUUGAAGCAUUAACAAAUAUUCUUUGUUCAUGAAUCCAAUUGGAAGGAGU